UAACGCGUGGGUAACCGUGCCUCAUACAGGGGGAUAACAGUUAGAAAUGACUGCUAAUACCGCAUAAGCGCACAGUGCUGCAUGGCACAGUGUGAAAAACUCCGGUGGUAUGAGAUGGACCCGCGUCUGAUUAGCUAGUUGGUGGGGUAACGGCCUACCAAGGCGACGAUCAGUAGCCGGCCUGAGAGGGUGAACGGCCACAUUGGGACUGAGACACGGCUCAA
rnacentral:rRNA from 1 species